rnacentral:tRNA from 1 species
GCGGACGUGGCGGAACUGGCAGACGCGCUGGACUAAGGAUCCAGUGGGGCAACCCGUGAAGGUUCGACUCCUUUCGUCCGCACCA